rnacentral:rRNA from 1 species
AUUGAACGCUGGCGGCAUGCCUAACACAUGCAAGUCGAACGAGUGGCGGACGGGUGAGUAAUGUCUGGGAAACUGCCUGAUGGAGGGGGAUAACUACUGGAACCGGUAGCUAAUACCGCAUACCAUCGGAUGUGCCCAGAUGGGAUUGGCUGGUAGGUGGGGUAACGGCUCACCUAGGCGACGAUCCCUAGCUGGUCGGAGGGGUUGACCGCACACACUGGAACUGAUACACGGUCCAGACUCCUACGGGAGGCAGCAUUGGGGAAUAUUGCGCAAUAGUGGCAAGUCUUGUGCAGCCAGGCCGCGUGUAUGAAGAAGGCCUUCGGUGUGUAAAGUACUUUCAGCGGGGAUGCGUUACCCACAGAAGAAGCACCGGCUAACUCCGUGCCAGCAGCCGCGGUAAUAC